UUGCAGCCAAGUGGGCUGAGGAGGCUCUUUUUUUUCCCUCACAGGGACUCAGCAUGCAAUCGGCUGCAAUCAGUAGCCUCCUUGAUAGUGUAUGCAGCCUGCUACUUGUAUAGGUUGCCUUCAGGGAGCUCGGAGCCCCUU
ensembl:snoRNA SNORA70 Small nucleolar RNA SNORA70